AUUGAACGCUGGCGGCAGGCCUAACACAUGCAAGUCGAGCGGAGCGGCGGACGGGUGAGUAAUGCCUAGGAAUCUGCCUGGUAGUGGGGGAUAACGUCCGGAACCGGGCGCUAAUACCGCAUACUAUCUGAUGAACCUAGGUCGGAUUAGCUAGUUGGUGGGGUAAAGGCAUACAAAGGCGACGAUCCGUAACUGGUCUGAGAGGAUGAUCAGUCACACUGGAACUGAGACACGGUCCAGACUCCUACGGGAGGCAGCAGUGGGGAAUAUUUGACAAUGGGCGAAAGCCUGAUCCAGCCAUGCCGCGUGUGUGAAGAAGGUCUUCGGAUUGUAAAGCACUUUAAGUUGGGAGGCGGUACCAACAGAAUAAGCAGCGGCUUACUUCGUUCCAGCAGCCGCGGUAAUAC
rnacentral:rRNA from 1 species